rnacentral:rRNA from 1 species
UACGUAGGUGGCAAGCGUUGUCCGGAAUUAUUGGGCGUAAAGCGCGCGCAGGCGGUCCUUUAAGUCUGAUGUGAAAGCCCACGGCUCUACCGUGGAGGGUCAUUGGAAACUGGGGGACUUGAGUGCAGAAGAGGAAAGCGGAAUUCCACGUGUAGCGGUGAAAUGCGUAGAGAUGUGGAGGAACACCAGUGGCGAAGGCGGCUUUCUGGUCUGUAACUGACGCUGAGGCGCGAAAGCGUGGGGAGCAAACAGG